rnacentral:rRNA from 1 species
CCUGGAAACAGAUGCUAAUACCGGAUAACAACAGAUGAUGCCUAUCAACUGUUUAAAAGUAUGGUUCUGCUAUCACUCUUGGAUGGACCUGCGGUGCAUUAGCUAGUUGGUAGGGUAACGGCCUACCAAGGCGAUGAUGCAUAGCCGAGUUGAGAGACUGAUCGGCCACAUUGGGACUGAGACACGGCCCAAACUCCUACGGGAGGCAGCAGCA